UCCAAUGUGCACUCAGAGGCUCUGCCACAAGUCAGGAACUGGUGGCCUGCUGGGAAUGAAGGCAAGGAGUUGGCUCUGAACUUGCACAUUUGAUAGAU